AUUUGUUUUGGGGUUUUUCUCAGUUCAGUUCAGUUCAGUCCAGAUGGUGGUGGCCAUGGCUGCAGCUGCAGUACAAGAAGAAGAAGAUCAGAAAUGGAUCAAGAUAUGUGGUUAAAUCUUGUUUUGUACAUAGUGUGUGUGUCAAGUGUGUAUUUUUACUUGAGAUCUUGUGGAGAGAUGAAGCAUGCAUAGAGCAUGAUCUGAUGAUCUGAUCACAACAACGGCGAUGAUGAAGAUGAAGAACAAGAAGGUGGUGGUUUGGCCGGAUUCUGCGCCAGUUUCUGCGAUUCCAGAACGUCGUCAUGAUGAUUAUUAUUGUUAUUGCUGUUAAUUAAGUCUGAAGAAUUUAAGCUCGUUUUCGUCGGAUGGUAUAGCCAGCCGAUGGUUCAGCUAGCACCUCCAUUAUUAUUAUCACUAUUGUUCCUCUUUUUUUUUUGUUCAUUUUGUUUCUCAUCAAGAUGGGAUCGAUCCGGCGACAUAUUAUUGCUCUGUAUUUUGAUCAUCAAUGUUAUUGUUGUUUACCUACUGAUCUAGUAGCUCACAAAUUAGUACCAUUAUUAUAUUGUGGUACUUUUUACU
rnacentral:sRNA from 1 species